ensembl:lncRNA
AGCGAGCCCGUGCCUUGACCACGGCUGCCAGAACGGAGGGCAGUGCGUGGCCCAGAACACCAGCCACUACACCUGCAGCUGUCCGGAGGGCUUCCAGGGGACCUUCUGCGAAGCGGAGAAAAUCGACGGCGGGGGAGGAGGCGGCGGACUGGAGACAAAGUGGAUCAUCGUGAUCGCCGUCCUGGCAUCCCUCGCCGCCGCCGCCCUCGUCGUGGGCGUGACCGUCUGCUUAUGCAAGCGCAGUGCCAAGUCCGAACAUUAUGUUGUCGAGCAUAACCACAGACUAGUUCACCUUUCUUACCCGUCCGACAUUCAGUACAAGCGCCACCAGGUAACGGACGGUCACUUUGAUCCCGGCAUGGAAGGUUAAGGGGUUAAAGGGUGAGCUACGCACUGGACCCCCACGUGAACUAAGUCUUUUAGAUGUUAGCACAAGAGAGAACAACCGUUAUAGAAAGCAAUCCGUAGGAU